AUUGAACGCUGGCGGCAGGCCUAACACAUGCAAGUCGAGCGGAUGAAGGGAGCUUGCUCCUGGAUUCAGCGGCGGACGGGUGAGUAAUGCCUAGGAAUCUGCCUGGUAGUGGGGGAUAACGUCCGGAAACGGGCGCUAAUACCGCAUACGUCCUGAGGGAGAAAGUGGGGGAUCUUCGGACCUCACGCUAUCAGAUGAGCCUAGGUCGGAUUAGCUAGUUGGUGGGGUAAAGGCCUACCAAGGCGACGAUCCGUAACUGGUCUGAGAGGAUGAUCAGUCACACUGGAACGUAGACACGUCCCGCCCCCCUACGGGGGCGACCGGGGGGGAAUUUGGGACAGGGGCCGAAAGUCUGACCCAGCCAGGCCGUGUGUGUGAAGAAGGUCUUGGGAUUGUAAACCUUUUUAAGUUGGGAGAAGGGGCAUUAAUUUAAUCCCUUCUUUUUUUCCCUUCACCAAAAAAAAAACCCCCGCCUACCUUCGUG
rnacentral:rRNA from 1 species